GGGGAUAUAUGUUAGUUGGUUAGACGUGCCCGUUCGCAGAUACGUGCACAUGGGUAGGCCCGCGUUCGAUUCGCGGUAUCUCCA